rnacentral:tRNA from 1 species
GGCUGUGCUGGGCCAGGAGCAGAUCGGCUUCGAAGUGCCGGCGCUGCGCCUGAUCGGGCAGGCCGCCUCGGGUUCGAUGCGCGACGCGCUCUC